GACGAACGCUGGCGGCGUGCUUAACACAUGCAAGUCGAACGAAGUGGCGAACGGGUGAGUAACGCGUAAUCAACCUGCCCUUCAGCGGGGGAAAACAGUUGGAAACGACUGCUAAUACCGCAUACUGAUGUCGGCGGUUGCUUCUGAUUAGCUAGUUGGAGGGGUAACGGCCCACCAAGGCGAUGAUCAGUAGCCGGGCUUGGAGGAUGAACGUCCACAUUGGGACUGAGACACGGCCCAGAUUCCUACGGGAGGCAGCAGUGGGGAAACUUCCGCAAUGGACGAAAGUCUGACGGAGCAACGCCGCGGGAGUGAUGACGGCCUUCGGGUUGUAAAGCUCUGUUAAUCGGGACGCGGUACCGGAAUAGAAAGCCACGGCUAACUACGUGCCAGCAGCCGCGGUAAUUC
rnacentral:rRNA from 1 species